rnacentral:rRNA from 1 species
UACGUAGGGGGCGAGCGUUGUCCGGAUUCAUUGGGCGUAAAGAGCUCGUAGGCGGCUUGAUAAGUCGGGUGUGAAAUCUUGGAGCUUAACUCCGAAACUGCAUUCGAUACUGCCGUGCUUGAGGACUGGAGAGGAGACUGGAAUUUACGGUGUAGCGGUGAAAUGCGUAGAUAUCGUAAGGAAGACCAGUGGCGAAGGCGGGUCUCUGGACAGUUCCUGACGCUGAGGCACGAAGGUCAGGGGAGCAAACGGG